rnacentral:misc_RNA from 1 species
CAUGUUCACAGCCUGCUUGC